AAACAUGUUGUGCCAUUAGUUACACUCAGUGUGGUCACAUGUAUAGUGACUUUGCAUGUUGGCAAGUUGAAUGGUGCCAUAGGUACCACCAUUAAUAAACAUUUUUAGAAUUAAUUGCUAAGUGGGUCACCGACCAAUGGACCGUUGUUUUAUAUUUGUCAUGUUGAUGAUGUGAUAUCGAUGUUUUUUUUUUUGUUUCUCCUUGAUCACUCUCUGUUUUUCCUAAAGCAUCUUUUUCGUAAAUACCUAGCACGAGUGUGAUAGCUUAGUUCAACUACGAGGAAAAAAGUCAUUAUAAAUAUUUUCGCUUUGAAAGCAACUCACACAUGCCUUAGUAGAACUUAGAAGGUUUGUAUUAAUCUAUUAUUUUGUGUCCCUUAUUAUAAAAUUCACUUUUGAGUAUAAGAUGGGAUUGGAUUACAAUGUUAUUACUUUAUUGCAUAAGGUAACUUUGCCAAGGUGAAGUAGUGACUUUG
rnacentral:lncRNA from 1 species